GGCCCGGCUGGCCGUACGGCCCCGGCUGCCCCGGCUGCCCCGGCUGGCCGUACGGCCCCGGCUGCUGGGGCUGCUGGCCGUACGGGCCCGGCUGCUGGGGCU
rnacentral:tRNA from 1 species